rnacentral:tRNA from 1 species
GCGCCCGUAGCUCAAACGGAUAGAGCGAGGGACUCCUAAGCCCUAGGUUGGACGUUCGAAUCGUCUCGGGCGCA